rnacentral:lncRNA from 10 species
GCUGGAGUGCAGUAGCACAAUCUCAGCACAUUGUAACCUCUGUCUCCUGGGUUCAAGCAAUUCUUCUGCCUCAGCCUCUCGAGUAGCUGGGAUUACAAGCGUCUGCCACCACACCCGGCUAAUUUUUGUAUUUUUGGUAGAGAUAGGGUUUCACCAUGUUGGCCAGGUUGGUCUCGAACUCCUGACCACAAGUUAUCCUCCCACCUUGGCCUCCCAAAGUGCUGGGAUUACAGGCAUGAGCCACCACACAUAGCCUAAAACUUACUUUAAAAUAUUUUAAUGCAGCAACUUUGAAGCCUUAACAUUCAUAGUUGGAAAAAGAAGUGAGUUAGAACUGACAUUAUUUGAAUAACGUUUUCUAAUCAAG